GUGGGGAAUAUUGGACAAUGGGCGAAAGCCUGAUCCAGCCAUGCCGCGUGUGUGAAGAAGGUCUUCGGAUUGUAAAGCACUUUAAGUUGGGAGGAAGGGCAGUAAGUUAAUACCUUGCUGUUUUGACGUUACCAACAGAAUAAGCACCGGCUAACUUCGUGCCAGCAGCCGCGGUAAUACGAAAGGUGCAAGCGUUAAUCGGAAUUACUGGGCGUAAAGCGCGCGUAGGUGGUUCAGCAAGUUGAAGGUGAAAUCCCCGGGCUCAACCUGGGAACUGCCUCCAAAACUACUGAGCUAGAGUACGGUAGAGGGUAGUGGAAUUUCCUGUGUAGCGGUGAAAUGCGUAGAUAUAGGAAGGAACACCAGUGGCGAAGGCGACUACCUGGACUGAUACUGACACUGAGGUGCGAAAGCGUGGGGAGCAAACAGGAUUAGAUACCCGUGUAGUCC
rnacentral:rRNA from 1 species